AGGGUGCUACAUGAGAGAAACUCGCACGCAGUGUAUCUGGACACGGUAAGGAUUGGCCAAUUGAUGGCUCCUUCUUGGUUCCGGGGGUGAUGGUGCGUGGUGAUUCUUAGUGGGUGUAGUGAUUUGUAUGGUUAACUUGAUGGCGAACGAGACUCCUGCGUGGUAAAUGGUUAUGGGGCCCCGAGCAGUCGGAGGCCAACUUCUCGGAGGGACAGGUGGCUUUCAGCCACACGACAUUGAGCAAUAACAGGUCUGAGAUGCCCUUAGAUGUCUGGGGCUGCAACGUGCGCCAAUAGGGGCGGGUAACCUGCUGAAUCCCAACCGCAACUGUGAUCGGGGAGUCCUGCAAUUGCUAUCCACAAACAAAGAAUUCCAGUAAGCGCGGGUCAUAAGCUCACGUU
rnacentral:ncRNA from 1 species